rnacentral:lncRNA from 1 species
GGCAGCUUUCCGUGUCAGAUAGAAACACUGGACUGUUUGUCUCAACUCGGCAAAUUUUAUUUAGAAAAAAUGGUGGGGUUUGAAAAAAGUGACACCACUCAUUACGUACGGACUUAGAAGCAUCCACCCUUCUGUAGCACCUUAGGCUCUUCUCUCAGUUUAACCUCGCACAACUUGUAGAGAAAAGGUCAAGUCCCCUGCCGAAGCAGAGUGGAUGGCGGAGGUGCUUGAAAGCGGCCAGAGAAGAGCCCCAGGCGAUCGAUGUUGCGGUGGAGGACACUGUGCAGCACAGACAGAUGUGGUCCUCCUUCAGCUCCACCCUCCCUGGCAAAGUCCCGGAUGAAGCGGCCACGUUCAGACUGGAAGAUGAACUUCUGGGGCAAGGGCCCAUGCUCCCGAAGAAAACCCCAGACACUAAGCAGCAACAGACGCACUUCAAAAGGUGCCAGUUGGCUAAAUACCUCGUGCAUAUUACCCAGGGCUGGUGGCAAGAGGCUUCCCUCAGCCAUGACAGCCACCAGGAUACAGGAUGCCUCCAGAUGCCAGGGGGAGUGGGUUGUAUCAGGGUGUCGAGAGGCUUCCCAAUGGCUCAAGAGGGCAGCCAGCAGCCCCCGCAGCAGCACGGAGCAGUAGCACAGGGCUGGGGGAGCAGCUGCUACCAGCUUCAAAAGCUCAAACAGCAGAGGUUGUUCCCGGAAGCGCCUACCAAUUCGGAGAUCCCGCUCCACGGUGGCUCGUGCAUGAUCCUCUGGGGGCCAGGCCAGCUCAGCACCAGCUGCAUCAGGACACACGCUCUCCACUAAGGUCACCGCAACUGCUUUGGCUGCCUCUGGGCUCAGGGUGGGAGCCCCCCAGCAACCCUCACGCUCGCUGUUCCCUGAUGCGCUGCAGCAGUGCACUAGGAGGCUAACGAGGCUCUGGGUGUUAUAGAUCACUUCUUGAUGGUUUCGAGAUUGAACAAUUUUAGGUGGCUUUAAGCCACGGCCGAUAACUCCAGCAUGGAAAACUGACCAGAUCCCUCCAGGACCCGGCACUGCUGCAGUAUGCCUCCGGUUAAUGUCCAACAAUGAGGCAGAAGCCAAAGGGGUUGAGACAAUUGAGAGGGUCUCAUUGUCUCCAUCCAUUUCCCCUCCAAAUAGUUCUGUGUUGCCCCGAUGUAAGGCUCCCUCUACAAGCAGCUGUAGGACAGCCUUGAGCCCAGCUGGGGAAGUCUGAGAAAGGCGGGUAAGAAGCUGAGAGGCUGAAGCCACACCAGGAGGGCCAUGCAGCCUUAGAG